AACGAGUCACCUAAGCUUCAUAAUCUUAAAAUUCAGUCUUGAACUUUGCGCAGAACAAUUAACCGUUUGAGUUUCAGGGGUCUUUGAAAAAGCAGGGUCGAAAAAUCCCAUACAGCGCGAUAGCACUUGUCCUAAUCGAUUGCGAAGAGAAACAAGCGGCGCAAUAGCGCUCGAUUUUUCGACACAAAAUCUAAACAGCACGAUCGUGCUGCUUGGAACUCAAACGGUUA